rnacentral:tRNA from 1 species
UGGGCUGUAGCAGAACGGUUAUGCAGCGCACUUUUAAUGCGCGAGAAGUGGGUUCAACUCCCAUCAGCCCAACCA